CUGUACAUUACUGGGCAAUUACUCCCUUGGCAGUCGGCCAUUAUCGCACCACUCACCGUGCGGCUGCUACACUGUGUAUGUGUGAUACACAGAGAGAGCGAGAGAGAGAGAGAGAGACUCGCUGCCAAAGGAGAUUUGCCCAGCGAUGCACCU
rnacentral:pre_miRNA from 1 species